rnacentral:tRNA from 1 species
GCAUUGGUGGUGUAGUGGUAACAUUGGGUCUUCCCAUGGCCCAGCGCCGGGUUCGAUUCCCGGCCAAUGCA